AGGUGUGAUCGUACCAUCACUAAUGCACCGGAUCCCAUCUGAAAUCAGCAGUUAAGCGUGCUUGGGUGAGAGUAGUAUUAGGAUGGGUGACCUCUUGGGAAGUCCUCACGUUGCACCUU